CCUGGCGGCGAGUGGCGAACGGGUGAGUAAUAUAUCGGAACGUACCCACAGAGUGGGGGAUAACGUAGCGAAAGUUACGCUAAUACCGCAUACGAUCUAAGGAUGAAAGCAGGGGACCGCAAGGCCUUGUGCUCCUGGAGCGGCCGAUAUCUGAUUAGCUAGUUGGUAGGGUAAAGGCCUACCAAGGCUACGAUCAGUAGCUGGUCUGAGAGGACGACCAGCCACACUGGAACUGAGACACGGUCCAGACUCCUACGGGAGGCAGCAGUGGGGAAUUUUGGACAAUGGGCGCAAGCCUGAUCCAGCAAUGCCGCGUGAGUGAAGAAGGCCUUCGGGUUGUAAAGCUCUUUUGUCAGGGAAGAAACGGUGAGGGCUAAUAUCCUUCACUAAUGACGGUACCUGAAGAAUAAGCACCGGCUAACUACGUGCCAGCAGCCGCGGUAAUACGUAGGGUGCAAGCGUUAAUCGGAAUUACUGGGCGUAAAGCGUGCGCAGGCGGUUUUGUAAGUCUGUCGUGAAAUCCCCGGGCUCAACCUGGGAAUUGCGAUGGAGACUGCAAGGCUAGAAUCUGGCAGAGGGGGGUAGAAUUCCACGUGUAGCAGUGAAAUGCGUAGAGAUGUGGAGGAACACCGAUGGCGAAGGCAGCCCCCUGGGUCAAGAUUGACGCUCAUGCACGAAAGCGUGGGGAGCAAACAGGAUUAGAUACCCUGGUAGUCCACGCCCUAAACGAUGUCUACUAGUUGUCGGGUUUUAAUUAACUUGGUAACGCAGCUAACGCGUGAAGUAGACCGCCUGGGGAGUACGGUCGCAAGAUUAAAACUCAAAGGAAUUGACGGGGACCCGCACCAGCGGUGGAUGAUGUGGAUUAAUUCGAUGCAACGCGAAAAACCUUACCUACCCUUGACAUGGAUGGAAUCCCGAAGAGAUUUGGGAGUGCUCGAAAGAGAACCAUUACACAGGUGCUGCAUGGCUGUCGUCAGCUCGUGUCGUGAGAUGUUGGGUUAAGUCCCGCAACGAGCGCAACCCUUGUCAUUAGUUGCUACGAAAGAGCACUCUAAUGAGACUGCCGGUGACAAACCGGAGGAAGGUGGGGAUGACGUCAAGUCCUCAUGGCCCUUAUGGGUAGGGCUUCACACGUCAUACAAUGGUACAUACAGAGGGCCGCCAACCCGCGAGGGGGAGCUAAUCCCAGAAAGUGUAUCGUAGUCCGGAUUGUAGUCUGCAACUCGACUACAUGAAGUUGGAAUCGCUAGUAAUCGCGGAUCAGCAUGUCGCGGUGAAUACGUUCCCGG
rnacentral:rRNA from 1 species